GAUAAUAAGACAACUCUCCAUCAAAGACCAACUGAUGUUGAAGUUAUCAAAUAUAGGUAACAGUUACUUCUAAAGCAUAUAGGACUUUUUAGGAAGUUUCAUGUUUGUAAAUAGUUUACUUGUAAAAUAUAGGUAUAGGACAAGAUAAUUAUAUGAAAAGAUAAUCUUAACAUUAAAUUUAAUUUGACAUAAAACAACAAAGGUGAAAUUCUUAUUCUUAGUAAAUAUUUAAUCAGUCUACUUAAGUAUAAAAGAUAUUAUGUAUAAUGUCAUUACAUACAACAGAUCAAUAUAAAAAAAAAAUAUAUGUACAUCAUUUACAUGGGAAGAAGAUACAUUGCACUUAUUCAGAAAUCACUCGGAUGGUAUGUGAGAGUGUCUGUCUACACUGUGUAGCAUCACAGAUGGAUAUAGGAACCCUCGAAAUCGUCAGAAUCGGCCCCGAGUGGGUACUAGUUAAGAGAAGCAUGUGACGAGUUUAAAACUGGUUGAACUAUUUAUUUGAUUUUUUGGUAGAAGAAAGUUAUAUCAUAUUUAAGCUAGAACAACCCUGCAUUUAAAAAAUAAACUGUUGUUUUCAGAUACAUUCGUGUAAAUUAAUGGCAAAUAAUUUUUUACAGUACAGUGAAAAGAAUAUGAACUUUUUGCUAUUAUUGUUUCUUUGCUUCAGGGGGUACUUAUAUCUGGAAGUGAUGCUAUACAGUGCUAUCUUUUCAUAAAAUAUAGCUGAAUAUACUGUGAAUUAAUUUUUAAUCGAUGGAUACCAAUUUUCUUGGAUUAGUGGGUUAGGUUAACCACCAAAUCAAAUGUUCAAAGAAUGACAAAUUUCCAUAUGGCUUGUAUGCAAACUUCGGCAAAACCAUGAGUGAAAAUACCAACAAACAUGCAAGUAUUCUUUUAUCCACGAAAAUUGGUAGCCAUGAAAAUAAGUGAAUCUACUGUACAUGGUGAUCAUGGUGAUAUCGAUGAUGAAAGUUUGCCAUUUAUUUAAGGAGCAAUCAUUCUUAAUUCAAUGUUUAUCAAAGUUUACCUUUGAACUUGUUAAGUUUGAACUAUUAAAAAAUGACUUUCAGGCAUAUAAAAAAAGAAACAUGAAAAAAAGCAGAUCUAA
rnacentral:lncRNA from 1 species